GGGGGUCCCCCCUCCGUGAGAUUGUAUGAGCACAGCGGUCUGUAAAUCACGAGCUUCCCCCUCAUCUGUCCACAGUGGGUCCCCCACAAACCCUCGGACAACACGCUGAGCAAACCCCUUUAACGAAGACCCAUUCAGCUUUACUGGAGUUGAAGUAGGUACAGAGGUUCUCUCUCUCGAUUUUCUAUAUAAACAACAAACAAAGCGAUGGCUGGUGUCCCAGGCUUCUCAGGGUCCCAAGAUGCCUACGUCUGGGCAGAAAGGAGGAGAUGCAGUCAGACUCCCAGCUCCGGGCUUAGUCAUGACCCAUUCAUCCCGUCUGCAAGCGCAGAGCAUCUGUGUGUGGUGACUGCAACACGUCGCGGGGAGGGGGCCAGGAGGACCGCGUCGCUGGACCAGCAGCUUUUCAGUGAGCAGCACCAAGGCUGCCGUCUGUAUGGGAGACCCCGGCGUGAGGGUCCCAUCCCAAGGAGCUGAUGCCACCAGCUAUCAAAUCCUCAUCAGAAGUCUCGUGCCCAACUCGUAAUCGUUUAACCAGCAUAGAAGUAAAAUUGAUAGUAAUUAUGGAUUGCAAUCUUGGGUGUUCAAUUAUAACCAGAGUGAACAUUUACUGAUUUCUUACUCUGUCCCAGGCACUGUGCCAAGCUCUCUUCAUACAUCAACUUAUUUAAUUCUCUUGGCUCCCUGUGAAGCAGAGACUAAUGUUAUCCUCAGCAUGGACCAGCGGGCAGCAACUUUCUGUGUGUGUGCGGGGGGGAGGUCAUUUAGGCCAAAUGAAAACAUUUAGGGGAUGCAUUUUUCACUUUCAGGCUUACGCAAAGUCCUGGGAGAUAAGACAAAUAGGGAAAGACAGCUGGAGAGCACACCGGGGUCUUCGCCAGGCUGUGUACCAGCUGUAUUUGAAUGACAAAAUAGCCUGGAUUCCACUCAAGUACAAUGUCAACAAAACCAGCAGUAAGAAAAAUUUCACAGCGACUGAGAUGCUAAGCAAAUUUCGCUCACGUAUCACAGUAGUAGUAGGAACUUGGAAGCCCUAAUCCACUCAACGAUUACCGUCAGAUAUUAGGAGAGAGCUUGCCAUCAGUGACGCACGGGCCAUCCCAACGUCCGAAUUGGUCCUGAGAAACUCACGUGCUCUCUGGCCCCAGUCAUCAGGAACUGAUGGCAUUCCAGAGCCAAAGAAGAGAGUGAAUCAUUUACGACAAGGCUGGGCGCCAACCUUGAGAAUAAGUCACCAACCAAGAAUUCUUUGCUCUUAUCUAGUUUUUGGUACUAGUAAAAACGUCAAGCAUGAAUAAUGAGUGUGCGACGCUAAAAAUACUUCUCAAAUCAGCAUGGUGGCAACAAACAGAUCAUACGGUCAGCUCACAGAGGCCAUAACUUCACCUCCCUUUCUGUCUAGCCAUUCACUAAAACUCCGAGGAAUUAAAAACAAAGCCUGUUUCCUGAGCCUUCACUGUGACCCAACGACUCAGGGACAGGCUUUUUGAGCUUUGUAAUUUCUUCAAACCAAAGACUUGAGAAUCAGAAGGGUCUCUGAGGGCCCCGAUGGCAGCGGGCCCUGGCGGAGGAUUGCAGGAGAAAGCAUCAGACGCGGGUUCAAGUCCCAGGCCCUACCCACCUCACCACUGAAAUUACUUUGUAUUUCACUCUGAGUCAUGGCUCCUACACAUUUUUAUUUUUAUUCUUAUACAGUGUUUAAAGGUUACUCUCCAUUUACAGUUAUUACAAAAUAUUGGCUCUGUUUCCCAUGUUGUAGAAUACAUCCUUGAGCCUGUCUUACACCCAACGGUUUGUACCUCCCACUCUCCCACCCCCAGUUUGCCUCUCCCACUGGUAACCACUAGUUCUCUAUAUUUGUGAGUCUGCUUCAUUUUUGUUAUAUUCACUAGUUUGUUGUAUUACAGUAUUUAUCUUUCUCUGUCUGUCUUAUUUCACUUUGCAUGAUACCUUCCAAGUCCAUCUAUGUGGCUGCAAAUGGCAAAAUUUCAUUCUUUUUUUAUGGCUGAGUAAUAUUCCAUUGUAUAUAUGUACCACAUCUUCUUUAUCCAUUCACCUGUUGAUGGACACCUAGGUUGCUUCCAUACCUUGGCUAUUGUAAAUAAUGCUGCUGUGAACAUUGGGGUGCAUAUAUCUUUUUGAAUUAGUGUUUUUCACAUAUUCUUUUUAGAAUAAGGCCUAAUCUAUGUGCCAGCUUUUCAUCUAGGCACUGGGACUCAGAAAUGAACAAAACCAGCAAAAUUCCCCACGUGACAGCACUUAGCACAGAGGCUAGCACAUCAUAAAUGAUCAUUUCUGUCUUUCCUUCUGCCUCUGACUCUGAACCAGGACACACAAAUGCUACUACGUCAUUACUGGGCCCUCCCCCGAGGCAGCUCACUUUUGUUUGUAGAGCUGUAAUCACACGUGCACCCCUCGAUUUCUCUGCUUAUACUUUGUAUUUUCCACUCGCUGGUCCAUUGCAACCCUUGGUGGCCAAUCAGAAGACAUCUCUGCCCUCUGACAGGCUCGUCAACAUGUAAAGACAUUUCAGUAUUUUUGACCAUUAUCGAGAGUGUAUCACAAGCGAGGCACUGUUCUAAGUGCUUCUCAGCUAUUUACUUAUUUCAUUCCCGGAACCACCCAUUGGGUCCAAUUACUACCCCUAGUUGACAGUUUGAGGAAACAGAGGCACAGAGCAGUUAAGUACUCUGCCUGAGACCACACAGCUUGUGUUUCUCCUAAGUCUUGCCUCCUACAGGUGAAAACGUUCCCGUUCUUUCUUUCCAAUUGGCUCUGGAAGAGAUUUUCUUCCUCUGUAAUCAAUUUCCCCUCCUAAUAUCUAGCCACUCCUGACAGUUAAUGGAGUCAAAUCAAACCCUACUCCCCACCACCUCUAGAGGGGUGUAUUUAAGUUUGCGGGUUGGGGGGAAACGGAGGACUUACACAUUUGUAGAAGGGCUUUGGAAAGCCAAUGCCACAAGGAGCCCUUGCCUACAACGUAAUUAAACUUCAGGAGCGCUAAAUGCUUACGUGGCUGAAUUCACUUUCUUCCACUUGAAUUCACUGAGCAUUUUGUUUUGUGCCCGGGACAUGUGGACCCACUGCUUUGACUGGUCACUAUAGGGGCACAUGCCAUGGUCCCCCAUUCAACCAUAACUUCCUCAAAGGUAGGACUCUGCUUAGCACAGGGGCUUAUGGGCUAAAGACCACCAAUAAAUGUGGGCAGGAAGAACUAGAAAGGGGAGAAUGAAUGAGCAAAAAUCUGGUGUGUGGCCAGAUCCCACCUUCCACCAGGGCAGGGGCUCCCAUCCACCUGGGGCGACAGAAGAUGAGCACACUGACCACGGGCUCUUCAAAGUUCCUGGAUGAGGUUUCUUGUCCCGGGAUAACCGCAGAGUGUAUAAACACGGACCCAGGGACCCACUAAACCUAAAAACACUCCUCACAAGCUAACCCUCACCAGGGCCUGCCUUUACUUAAAGGAACCAGCAUUUAGGAGAUAUGACCUGAGGGUAAACAGCUCUGCCUAAGACAGACCACUGGGGACAAUGCAGGCUGACAUUUUGUUCACAUUUAUUGGGAGGGAUCCUGUGUGUGUGUGUGGGGGGGGGGUAGGCAAUUUCACCAAAUGUCCAGUAAUGAGGAUUUUUAGAAAGGGAAUAUUUUGAUGCUCUUUUAUUGUAUCAUAUGUGUUUCUCAAAUGUUUAAAAAGAAGGUUUAAUCCUUCAGGACUCUUACAUUGAUUGAUUGAUUGAUUGAUUUACCAUUUCUUUUUUUUUUUAAUUGAAGUACAGUUGAUUUACAAUGUUUUGUUAGUUUCAGGUGUAUGGCAAAGUGAUUCAGUUAUACAUGUAUAUGUACACACAUAUAUAUAUAUUCAUUGUACAUAUAUAUGUAUACAUAUUCUUUUUCAGAUUCUUUUCCCAUAUAGGUUAUUACAAAAUAUUGAGUAUAGUUCCUUGUGCCAUACACUAACUAGGUUCUUGUUGGGAAUCAUAUUUAUUUUAUUAUUAUUUUUUUAAAUAAAAUAAAUUUACUUAUUUAUUUA